CAAGAUGUCCCCUUUUUGUUCUCUGUCCUCCCCAGGGUAGACCCUACUUCUCUCCCCUGAGGAAGUCCUGACUCCUUGGACGGUGACAGCUUCAGGCAUGGCCCUGGAGGCCUGGGAGCACAGAGGCCCCGUGUGCUUCGAGGACUUGAGGCAGGAGGCGGGCAGAGGCGCCCAGGGCGUGAGUGUGGCCAGCAGGACAGAGGGCAGGACUGCGCUUCUGACAGUGGUCUGCUCCGGCCAAGCACCUGAAAGAUGGGGAGCCCUUCACCCCA
ensembl:lncRNA novel transcript